CGGAGGAUCCAAGCGUUAUCCGGAUUUAUUGGGUUUAAAGGGUGCGUAGGCGGAAUUGUAAGUCAGUGGUGAAAGCCCUUCGCUUAACGAAGGAACUGCCAUUGAUACUGCAAAUCUUGAGUACAUUUGAUGUGGGCGGUAUGUGUCAUGUAGCGGUGAAAUGCUUAGAUAUGACACAGAACACCGAUUGCGAAGGCAGCUCACAAAACUGUAACUGACGCUGAGGCACGAAAGCGUGGGUAUCAAACAGGAUUAGAUACCCUGGUAGUCCACGCUGUAAACUAUGAUUACUCGAUGUUUGCGAUACACUGUAAGCGUCUAAGCGAAAGCGAUAAGUAAUCCACCUGGGGAGUACGCUCGCAAGAGUG
rnacentral:rRNA from 1 species